rnacentral:piRNA from 1 species
GACAGGUCACAGUCAAAAUGCAGUGA